rnacentral:lncRNA from 1 species
CCGGGACCUGCGGCGUCGCCGGCGGGUUGCCUCCGCCCUCGGACCAGCCCCGCGCGAGCCGGGCUCCCCCGGCGCCCUCCCGCAUCCGCCGCUCCCGGCCCCGCCUGGCCGCAGGGCCCGGGUAGGAAGGACGGGACCGGCCCGGUGGAGACCUGGCCCCACUGCACGAGGGUCCCUGGAGAUGCCAUUCUGAGCCGAGAAGCGGCUGCUCUGGCCGAGGCCGUUUGCGUGGCAGCGCUUGCAGGUCUGCGGCAGACCACCCACCGCGAUCAUCUGGCUUUGUUCUUACAGAAGCCAGGUUGAAGCUACCCCAUACCCAAGUAGCCCCAUCCAAUGGGAAAUUCCAAAUCAAGGCCUCCAAAGAGGGAUUUCUGUGUUUAGCUGUUUACCCACCCAUUCGGCGAGUAGCAGACCCUGACUGUGCUAGACACUGGAAGAAUGGCCGAUGGAGGAAGAGGACUUACGCCAAAGUCGAGCAGUAAAGGAAAGAGACAAACAUAUAAACGGGAGACUAUUGUAUGAUGUGAAAUGUCUGAGGCUUGGUGUAAUUGCUUCAUUUUGGUAACUCUUCUCAUUCAAGAAAUGAGUAUAAAUUCCAGAGACUCCAAACCUUGAAUUCAACUGAAACCAACCCCCAAGUAAAGGAGAAGAUGCUCAGGAUGGCUGGAGUUUGAACCUAGUCAACUGGUAGGUGAGUGUGUGUGUUUGUGAUAGAGGAAAAUCUGGGUUUUGUUUGAAUUCCCAAGACUGCCCUAGAUGAGGAAGAAACUAAUACAGACUCUUCCUAAUCUGAAGUGCCUCUAAGAAUAUUUGUGUACCAGUUGAGUAUCCGUCAUCCAAAAUGCUUGGGACCAGGAGUGUUUCUCCGAUUUUGGAAUAUUCGCAUUAUACUUACCAGUGGAGCACUUCUAAUCCAAAAAUCCUGAAUCCGAAAUGCUCCAGUGAGCAUUUCUUUUGAGCAUUGUGUCAGCAGUCAAAAAGUUUCUAAUUUUGGACCAUUUUGGAUUUCAAAUUAGGGAUGUUUAACCUGUACUAAGAGUACCGAACUACUGUACUGAGUUGCCUUAAGGCUCC